GCCUUGAAAUAAACCAAAAGAAAGAAGAAAUCAGAAUAACAUUAGAAUAGUUCUACAUAAGUGUAUAAAUGGUUGCAAAAGUGUUUCUCAGUGGGAAGAAGGUUGUGUGUGUGUGCAAAGGAACAACUGCAGGGUGAGAUUGUUUCACAUCUGAACCUGGACUGGAUCAGGCCUACCUGAACUCCUAAGAUGUGGGAAGCCAGACCAGUCUCAAGAAUAUUCUUCACUCUUCCCCUGAGCUUCAUGAAGCAGAACAGUCGCAUGAAAAUGGAUAAAAACUAUGACCACUGAAAGAAUGCAGCAAAUGGCGGUGAAACACCAGGCAAGACCUGUAUUAGAGUACAAACAAUAACAUGUCAUCAUUCUGGAUGCAAGGCAUUCUCUACUGCCAGUAGAGUGUAGUAGAGA